AUGUGCAUUCAAAGUAGUACUAACUAGAAUCUCCGCAUGUCAUUAGGGUUUCAGGUAGAUGUUGUGACAACUCUUCAGCAGAAAUCUUCCUCAGUUCAGGAAAAUGUCACAAACAUUAGCAAAUCUCCAUUAGUUUCGGAUUGAUUUACCAAGUCAACAACCUUAUCCAGAAACUACCAUAUGAGCAAUAAGCAAGUCCGCAAAAUCUGAGCUUGAUUCUGCGGCACACUUUUUGCACAAGCAAUCCCGCUAGGAAGGAGUCAGAGCACGAGACAGCUUCCAGCUUCGUUCAUGUCGGUGUUGCAACCCCAUACUCGAACAGCAAGUCUCCGACACUUGGGAGAUGAUUGUACCAGAUACUUGCUGUACCAGUCGAUAAUGUCUUUCUUGUUUAUGCUUUUGAGUUCCUCUGCUUCCUUUUGUGACAGAUCAAACAUAUACCUGGAUACCAUUGAUUGACAGAUUUGUAACGACAUCAGGCAAGAGCCUUCAAAAACAAAACUACUUAAUACUUGUCAAUCUUUGUAUCUAUGCAAAAACGGCAGAACCCAUAACCUCUUUUUAUAAGCAUUCUAACUUGUUCACGAGUAAUCACA